rnacentral:lncRNA from 1 species
UUCAUUUAAAUUAUCAUCCUUAGUGCUCUGGGAACCUAUUAUUUGCAACUGCACUUCACCACCCUGACAUUGUGACAGGGUAAAUUACAUGUACAUCUCUCUUCAUGGUAUUAAUUGACAUUCUCUGAUCAUUCAGAGAGUAGGCCAUAUGGUUCUCUGUAGUAUCUGGUGCUCCAAACCAUUUUCGUACAACAAAAUAGCAUAGAUACCUGCAGAACAAAAGCACAUGAUCAUUAAAGUUUUAACUGAGGAUAUCUAAGGCACAGAGAUACUCCUAAGCAUAUUUGGCUAACUUCUUUUUAAAUAAUUUUUCCCCUGACAAGUUUGUAUUUCUUCACAUUAUGCAUGUUGCCACCUGCUCAAAUAUCUCUUUUGUGGCGACAUGAUUGUGCAUAAUUCCCGUUUUCUUAGAUAGUAGUGCACAUGAACUUUUCUUGUUAGAACUGUGUAGUUCUCAUGAUCAUAGUGUGCAAUGAUACUCGUCAAGGUCCACCGUACCGGUCCCAUACCGGUUCUUCAACAAUAAAUUACCGGUAGCGGAUUUUACGCUGAUCUGGUACUGGUCUCAGGCCGGACCGGUACGUACCGGCCGGUACGGACCGGUACGGCAGACCAUGAUACUCGUGCUAAAGAUCUUGCUGUCUUUGUCAGUAGUUUCUCGUCAAAACUUACAGGUCCGGUACUGACUUUAUUGUUGUCAAGUUUGAACUUCAGACAUCUAGAUGCUGGAUUAUAUGAUCUCGAGCAACUAUUGUCAAGAAUGUGCUUUGUAUCAUCUUUUAUAGAGUAGCUAUUUCAAUUCUUGACCUUCUAAAACCAUUC